UACGUAGGGUGCGAGCGUUGUCCGGAAUUACUGGGCUUAAAGGGUGCGUAGGCGGCGCGGAAAGUGGGGUGUGAAAGCCCUCGGCUCAACCGAGGAAUUGCGCUCCAAACUACCGUGCUCGAGGGAGAUAGAGGUUAGCGGAACUUCGGGUGGAGCGGUGAAAUGCGUUGAUAUCCGAAGGAACACCGGUGGCGAAAGCGGCUAACUGGGUCUUCUCUGACGCUGAUGCACGAAAGCCAGGGUAGCAAACGGG
rnacentral:rRNA from 1 species